CUCAACAAUCUUUCCGUUUGAUACCAAGGAGAAAUCCCAGGAGGAUUAGUUGACUUUGAGGCCAUGGAGACUUCCUGUAGAUCCCAAUAAUUUUCC